CAUGGAGGGUGAGAAUCCCGUUCAUGGUUAAUCUUUAAAGGCGCUUUACGAUACGUUUUCCAAGAGUCGAGUUGUUUGGGAAUGCAGCUCAAAAUGGGAGGUAAAUUUCUCCUAAGGCUAAAUAUUGGCGAGAGACCGAUAGCGAACAAGUACCGUGAGGGAAAGAUGAAAAGAACUUUGAAAAGAGAGUUAAAUAGUACGUGAAAUUGUUGAAAGGGAAACGAUUAAAGUCAGUCAUACCGGCGAGAAAUCAACCCUUUUGGUGUGAAAUUGUUGGAUAUGAAGAGUUUCAAAUUGAGGCCUUCAUGCUGGCAAAAUUUUGUGUCUUUUGGGCGUACUUUCUCGAAUGGUAGGUUAACAUCGAUUUUGAACAUUAUAAAAUGAUUGGAGGAAUGUAGCUUCGGACACGUUUCGAAGUGUUAUAGCCUUUGAUAGAUGUAAUGAACAGGAUCGAGGAUUGCAACGAAUACCCCAUCGGGCUAUCCGUCUGACCUCUGAUACGUUGUCUCUGUGUUGAAAGCUUGCCUACGAUAUUGAGAUAUUACGGUCAAAAGGUUAGAACGGAUUACAUUCGUUAAGGAUGUUGACGUAAUGG
rnacentral:rRNA from 1 species